GACGAAGGAUGCAAGCGUUAUCCGGAUUCAUUGGGUUUAAAGGGUGCGUAGGCGGAAUUAUAAGUCAGUGGUGAAAUCUCUCAGCUUAACUGAGAAACUGCCAUUGAUACUGUAGUUCUAGAGUAUAGAUGACGUUGGCGGAAUAUGACAUGUAGUGGUGAAAUACUUAGAUAUGUCAUAGAACACCGAUUGCGAAGGCAGCUAACGAAACUAUAACUGACGCUGAGGCACGAAAGUGCGGGGAUCAAACAGG
rnacentral:rRNA from 1 species